rnacentral:rRNA from 1 species
GAUGAACGCUAGCGGCAGGCUUAAUACAUGCAAGUCGAGGGGCAGCAUGAUUGUAGCAAUACAAUUGAUGGCGACCGGCAAACGGGUGCGGAACACGUACACAACCUUCCAACAAGUGGGGGAUAGCCCAGAGAAAUUUGGAUUAAUACCCCGUAACAUAGCGAUGUGGCAUCACAUUGCUAUUAUAGAUUUUUCGCUUGUUGAUGGGUGUGCGGCUGAUUAGAUAGUUGGCGGGGUAACGGCCCACCAAGUCUACGAUCAGUAGCUGAUGUGAGAGCAUGAUCAGCCACACGGGCACUGAGACACGGGCCCGACUCCUACGGGAGGCAGCAGUAAGGAAUAUUGGACAAUGGACGCAAGUCUGAUCCAGCCAUGCCGCGUGAAGGAUUAAGGUCCACUGGAUUGUAAACUUCUUUUAUAAGGGACGAAAAAAGGCUUUUCUAAGUCGUCUGACGGUACCUUAUGAAUAAGCACCGGCUAACUCCGUGCCAGCAGCCGCAGUAACAC